rnacentral:rRNA from 1 species
CCGUUAACGAACGAGACCUUAACCUGCUAAAUAGACGCUCCGACUUUGGUUGGUGCCUGUCUUCUUAGAGGGACUGUCAGCGUUUAGCUGACGGAAGUUUGAGGCAAUAACAGGUCUGUGAUGCCCUUAGAUGUUCUGGGCCGCACGCGCGCUACACUGACAGAGCCAGCGAGUCUCUACCUUGGCCGGAAGGCCCGGGAAAUCUUGUGAAACUCUGUCGUGAUGGGGAUAGAACAUUGCAAUUAUUGUUCUUCAACGAGGAAUACCUAGUAAGCGCAAUUCAUCAGAUUGCGUUGAUUACGUCCCUGCCCUUUGUACACACCGCCCGUCGCUAAUACCGAUUGAAUGGAUA